rnacentral:rRNA from 1 species
UACGAAGGGGGCUAGCGUUGCUCGGAAUCACUGGGCGUAAAGGGUGCGUAGGCGGGUCUUUUAGUCAGGGGUGAAAUCCUGGAGCUCAACUCCAGAAUUGCCUUUGAUACUGAGGAUCUUGAGUUCGGGAGAGGUGAGUGGAACUGCGAGUGUAGAGGUGAAAUUCGUAGAUAUUCGCAAGAACACCAGUGGCGAAGGCGGCUCACUGGCCCGAUACUGACGCUGAGGCACGAAAGCGUGGGGAGCAAACAGG